GUCAGCCCCACACAGUCCAAACAAACCCCAAGCCCAGGCCAGGCGAGGCUAAACACAAAGAGCACACAUUCGAGUGGCAAACAGAGAUAGACAUAGAGAGAGCGAGAGAGAGUGAGAGAGAAUGAGAGGCUUUAACCUUGGGCCAAAGGCAAAACGUUUGGAUGUGGACUUUCUGGGCAGCUUCCCAUUUCUGUGAAAUCAAGAUGUUACCCCAUGCAUACCCAUGCCCCACAUGCACACACACACACACACACGUACAAACGGAAGACUCGCUGUAGUGCAUGUUCUGCAUGUGCCUUAAUUUAGACAUGUGUCAAAUGCUAAUUGAGACAUGUUUCCCUGUCAAUUUGCGAUAAUUUCAAUAAUUUAUAGCAGAGCAAUAAUAAAAAUACUAAAAAAUACUAAAAAUACUUAAAAAUUCAUAUAUCUUAUAUUUGCAACAGCAAUGCUAACAUUUGAAUUGUAAUUACUAUAAUCACAAGUAGGGGUAUAACGUAGUUGAGCAAUAGUAAGAAAAAACAGUGAGAGCUUUACCUAAAAUACCACCCAAAUAAAAAAUACUAAAAAAUACUAAAAAAAUACU